AGGGUAGGUAGCCAAACAACCCAGAGAAGAGAUUGGCAUUAGAGUUAGCAGAGGAUGAAGAAAGAGACCCAGGGCUUGGGCAGUGGGGCCUUAGAGCUCAGCCUGCUUCUGAGAAGCUUUUCCAUGUAGAAACUGGGGUUUAAAUCUCAGACAUGCUGGGAUUUCACCCCAUUUACUUCCUGCUGUUCUAGUAAGUUCUUCUCAGAGGCAAUUGCUUCAGGAGAUGCCCCAAGCUCUCUUCAGAGGGCCUGGUUCCCACAGAACUCCUCUGAUGGCCAAACUGACUGCUUGAGAUUUGUUUUUCAGGUGAAUUGGGUACUGUGGGUCACUUGCUCUGAUCAAAGACCUUUUCCAUCUUUCUCUGAACAUUGAAGACCUGUUCCAACCAAGCCUAAGGAGACUAAAGUCAUGGACUCUUCCUUCCUCAAAUAAAGCCACUUCUUUCAUACACUUGCAGAGACCUGGAGUGCAGACUCCAGACCUUUGUUACAGAUGGCUCUUCUUCAUGUUUUCACUAUAACAUCUGCAGAAGAACUUAGGGACAUUUUCUAAACUCCAAAAGCAUGCAUUGGGUUUUCAAGAUUCAUGAGCUCAUAAAAUCUUAGGUUAUGUCAUGGUUGUUCACAAGCCAAUUGAAAGGGAUCCAAAAUAUAUGCCUCUAGUAACCCCAUGGCUUUUCACUAUGAGAUGUCUCCACAGCCAGAGGUCAGUAGAUGGCUAACCAACUAGCUAAGGAGGGGCAGUGUCAUGAGAUGUCUCACUCUUGGCGGUCCCCUAACCCGGUAGGUAGGCUCCAAGUUCCGAUUUUUAUUUCUGCCUGUUGACAAAAAUACUCAGCUGCCUGGAACUCAUCUGUGAAGGAUCUUGCAGGAACUUGGCAGUCACAUUAGAGCAAAGGAACGCAUCCAGAGUGAUUAGAAUGGAAAGUUAUGGCCAUAAUUGUCUAAUACACUAAUUCACGGCAGGGAUUUGAGAUCCCCGGGGGACUGAGUCACCAUUUAGCAUAUUAGGAUGGAAAAACACAAAGCUCGCCCGCCCAAAGGGAUUUGGAUCUUGUUGACACGAUGCCCUGUGAAGACUGAGAGCACGCCUUCCAGUGUGCAGAUGAAGGAGAAGUGAGGCUACCAAACCAGCACUGGGGAUGGACAUAUCUGAAGAAUAGGAAGAAAAAGCUCCUAUACUUGGGCCUCUAUAAGUGACUGAUGGUUGCUUUCAUGUUGCUGUGAUAAACACCAGCUUAGGGGACAUCAGCUUCCAAUUCCAAGCAAUUGUCCAUCACCAAGGGACACUGAACCUGGAGCAGAAACCAUGGCCUUUGCCAUCAGAUGAUCAUCUGUCAGCUCAGACUAUUGGGCACAGAGGCUGGAUCAUGAGGCCAGAAAAGAUGGGAAAGGAUCCACUGUUAACCACCCAUCGUCCUUGCCCUUAACAGAAAUCCUGGGAGAAGAGGGUAAAAAUAAAGGGUGGAUCUCACAAUCCUGAGAAAACAAAUAA
rnacentral:lncRNA from 1 species